UACGUAGGGUGCGAGCGUUAAUCGGAAUUACUGGGCGUAAAGCGUGCGCAGGCGGUUUUGUAAGCCAGAUGUGAAAGCCCCGGGCUCAACCUGGGAAUGGCAUUUGGGACUGCAAGGCUGGAGUUUGGCAGAGGAGACUGGAAUUCCUGGUGUAGCAGUGAAAUGCGUAGAUAUCAGGAGGAACACCGAUGGCGAAGGCAGGUCUCUGGGCCACUACUGACGCUGAGAAGCGAAAGCAUGGGGAGCGAACAGG
rnacentral:rRNA from 1 species